CAUCACCCGCUUCUUUUUCUCCACGUGUACGCAUAGAUUGAGUUUCAUGAACCCAAGCAAGAUCGCGCCUCUUCGACAGGAUCGUUUGGGGCCCACCGCGCCAUGAGCAAGAGGGAGAGGGAGAACCCCUGCCUUCGCGUGUCCGCGGCUGCAGGCGCGAGGAGGGCGGGGUCUGCGGCCAUCGCGUCCCCUCCGCCUUCGAGCGGCCGACCCAACAGGAUUUCCCUCCGCCUUUCCCACAGAGAUCCUCAAGGAUUUCCUCUACCUUGGACAACGCCCCCAGUGGGGAGAUCCUCAAGGCCCUCGGCGUCACCCAUGUCCUCGACAACAAUGCAACAAGGAGGAGGCUCGUGUUCUUGUCCACUGUCACCUGCAAUUGUAAUAGCCUAUUUGAUGAAAUGCAAAGGAUGGCCACUCGCAUGAAGUUUUCAAUGGAUUAAAAUCGGUGACCUAUCCCCAGGAUCCACAAGCAGUUUAGAGCUGUAUAAUAAUUGGUUGAUGCCAAGUUAUUCCUUUUUUAAGCUGUCCAUCAGACACAAAAGAUUUUUGGAUCGCAGUGAAAGCCACUACCACACAACCUGUACUUGUUCUUGAAAGAAGAAACUUGGAGUGGAUAGGAGAUGGAAAACAAUGCUUCUGUAGUCGUCCCUCCUACUGACAGCUCCUGAAGAAUUAAUGAAAAGCAUCUGGAUCUGGAGAUCCCAUCCUAUUUGCAUCUAAAAGACGGGUUCUCAGGUCUGUGAUCAAAAAGUGUUGGAGGAGAGAUCUUUUUUUUUUUUUCUUUUUUCUUGUAUUUUUCCUUCUUUUCAGGCUACUGUAACGCUUUAAGAACGAGUGAGUUCGUGGUUCACAAGAUGACCAAACCAGUUUUCCUCCUAAUGCUUCUUCUUUCGGUGUGCUAA